rnacentral:lncRNA from 10 species
GGCGGGGGCCCGAAGGCUUCGGAAAACGAUGGGGGAGGGGGCAGAGGAUACCCGUCGAAGCCCCCCCCUCCCCCAACAUUUCGAUAUUGGAAUCACUUUCCUUCUUCCUCGGGCCAGCCUUUGCUCUGUCCCCUCAGGUCAACUCAAGGUAGACAGUGUGGCGACUGGAGAGGUCGGGGAACAAGCUUUGUUUCAGCUAAGGGGAAAACAAGCGUUCACAGGAGUCCCCUGACACCUCCCACUCGGAAGAUAGCUAACGGGGGUCCUGCCAACCCUUCCCAUCCAACUUCCAUCUGAAAAGGAUUUUCUGCUAAAGUUGGGUCCAUGGCCAUCCAGCACCUGUAAGGCCGGCAGGAGCGUCUGCCCUCUACUCAGUUAAAGCCUGAAGUCGUUUCCUUUCGAUGGCCCUUAGGAGGCCCAAAAGAGGGGCGACAGAACAUGAUGUUGACACGGGCUGGGCGCCCCCAGAAGCCCGGGAACAAACGUUUCUACUUUCCAGGUCCACUGGUGUUUGGUGUACCCAUGUGACUAAUUUGUCCAAAGAGAGGUGAGUGAAAGUGAUGUGUCACUUCCAGAUGGAAGCUUUUUGGGCAAGUAUGUAUUUUCUAGCUCUUUUCUUCUGUGUUAUAGAAACUAGGAAUAUUCCAGUUGGUGACUGACCCCUUAGUUGGGUUCCUAGAGUGAGUUUGAUGUGGAGGAGCCCAAAAUGAC